UACAACACUAUUAUGAUUGAUUUUGCUAUCUUCUAGAAUAAUCUUACUCAAAAUCAAGACAAACAAAUCAGGAAAAUCUCAGAAUUGAAAGAGACAAUUGAACUUGAAAAAAGGCAAAAAUGCAUAUUGCUGAUUCAUUUCGUGUUACUAUUGAAGAAAAGGAUGAUCUUAUAGAAGUUUUAAAAACUCAGGUACAGUUGGUUAAGGAUGUAGCUACAUACGUACGCAUAUUGUGAAAAAGUUAUUUAGUUUUAACAAACAUCGACAUUCUUAUUUCUUUA